rnacentral:rRNA from 1 species
CAAGAAUAUUAGUCAAUGCUCUUAAGAGUGAACUAGCUAACUGAAAUCAUUGUGUAAUACAAAUAUCAAUGAUGUGGUAAGAGAGAACAUUGAUGUUAUCUUACUAUUAGUGUCGUCUAAUUUACUGGUGCCAGAAGACUCGGUAAGGCCAGAGACGCUAACGUUAAUCAUCUUAAACAGGCGUAAAGGAUAUGUAGGCAGCUUAACUUUUUUAAGUCAAGCUAGAAUCUGAUAGAUGUUGAACCGUACAAUGCUUAGAUAAUGAUUGAAAUCAUAAAAAUCUAGGUGGAGUUCUAACGGCGAAAGCUUAUCAACAAUCAAUGAUUGACGCUGAGAAAUGAAGGUUUGGAUAGUAAAACAGAUUAGAUACCUGAGUAGCCCAAACUGUCAACAAUGAAUGGUAGUCAUUAGAUAAUAAAUUUAUAUGAUCAACGCUAACGCAUGUAACCAUUCCGCCUUGUAACUACGAUUGCAAUAUUAAAAACAAAAAAAUGAGUCGGUCUCGAAGCAAACGAAGUGAAGCAUGUUAUUUAAUUCGAUAAU